rnacentral:rRNA from 1 species
UACGGAGGGUGCGAGCGUUGUCCGGAAUCAUUGGGCGUAAAGCGCGCGUAGGUGGCCACAUAAGUCCGUUGUGAAAGUCAAAGGCUCAACCUUUGAAAGCCGAUGGAUACUGUGUGGCUAGAGUACGGAAGAGGCGAGUGGAAUUCCUGGUGUAGCGGUGGAAUGCGCAGAUAUCAGGAGGAACACCAAUAGCGAAGGCAGCUCGCUGGGACGUUACUGACACUGAGGCGCGAAAGCGUGGGGAGCGAACAGG